GGCGGAUGUAGCCAAGUGGAUCAAGGCAGGGAAUUGUGAAUCCACCAUGCGCGGCUGAGCGAACUA
rnacentral:tRNA from 1 species